GAUGAACGCUGGCGGCGUGCCUAAUACAUGCAAGUCGAGCGAACAGACGAGGUGCUUUCUCCUCUGACUUUAGCGGCUGACGUGUGAUUAACACGUGGAUAACCUACCUAUAUGACUGGUAUAACUUCGGGAAACCGUAGCUAAUACCGGAUAAUAUAUUGAACCUCAUUGUUCAAUAGUGAUAUACGUUUUUUCUGUCUCUUAUAGAUGGUUCCUCGCCGCAUUAGCUAGUUGGUAAGGUAACGGCUUACCAAGGCAACGAUGCGUAGCCGACCUGAGAGGGUGAUCGGACACACUGGAACUGAGACACGGUCCAGACUACUACGGGAGGCAGCAGUAGGGAAUAUUCCGCAAUGGGCGAAAGCAUGACGGAGCAAAGCCGCGUGAGUGAUGAAGGUCUUAGGAUCGUAAAACUCUGUUAUUAGGGAAGAAAAAAUGUGUAAGUAAAUAUGCACGUAUUGACGGUACCUAAUAAGAAAGCAACGGCUAACUACGUG
rnacentral:rRNA from 1 species